UACGUAGGGUGCAAGCGUUAAUCGGAAUUACUGGGCGUAAAGCGUGCGCAGGCGGUUUUGUAAGUCUGACGUGAAAUCCCCGGGCUCAACCUGGGAAUUGCGUUGGAGACUGCAAGGCUGGAGUCUGGCAGAGGGGGGUAGAAUUCCACGUGUAGCAGUGAAAUGCGUAGAGAUGUGGAGGAAUACCGAUGGCGAAGGCAGCCCCCUGGGUCGAUACUGACGCUCAUGCACGAAAGCGUGGGGAGCAAACAGG
rnacentral:rRNA from 1 species